GUUGCACAGUGAAAUUACGUAUUUUGGUCAUCGUGGGAAGGAAAUGAGGCUGGAUGUACGCAUGUUAGUCAUCUGGGAAAAGGAGGCUGGAUGUACCGGUGUUGGCCAUCUGGGAGGGGAAGGAAGUGUUGGUGAUGGUGCAACCCUCUCUGAUCUCUCGACCUCUCUCAAAUGUUCCAGUAACUUUUCCACUUGCUCCCCCUUAAUCUCAACCUGAAACCAACAAAUCCCAAAAACCCUCAAGCCUUCCAACAAAUCGAAAACAACACCAUCUUUGCCGAAAAUUUUGAAUUUUCUCAGGAAUUCUCGACUAUUCCUGAGAUUUUUUGGUGGGCUUUGGUUCUCCGGUCCCGUAUGUUAAAGGGUUUUGGCUUUGGUAGCAAAUGAAUAUUGGUGAUUUCUAGGGUUUUGUGGUGCUUAAUGUUUAGGGAUUUGGUUUGGGUUUCUGGGCACUUGGGUGAUCACAACAUUCCCACUCAGAUGAACACAGGAGAGUUCAAAAAGAGCUUUCAAGUGCUACUCAGAAGAAACCUUUAGUUAACUUGGAAAUUUUCUAUUUCACCCACUGAUCAAUGCCAAUGCCAACAGCUUCAGUUUAUUCUAAAGCCAUGUUUAUGGAAGAAAAAACGAACUCCCCACUACGAAAUCCAAGAAAGUGUGAAGAAGUUGUUCAUUAUCUGAUUGACCCUAGCCUUUGUUGCCACCACAACUGAUACACAUUUCAAUUCAUUUUCUGUCAUACUAUUCAUAAAGUGGUUCAAAGAAUUUCAAGCGCUUCAUUCACCCAAUUUUUGCUCUUCAUGUAAAAAUUCUUUCAAAAAGCUGAAACAUCAUUCAAUGUAAAUAACAUUAACCUUCUUUGACAAUCCCUUAUAGCUUUGAAACUGAUUUUUUCA